GACAGAGGGUGCAAACGUUGUUCGGAAUUACUGGGCGUAAAGCGCGUGUAGGCGGCUAUGCAAGUCGGAUGUGAAAGCCCUCGGCUCAACCGGGGAAGUGCACCCGAAACUGCAAAGCUAGAGUCUCGGAGAGGAUCGUGGAAUUCUCGGUGUAGAGGUGAAAUUCGUAGAUAUCAGGAGGAACACCGGUGGCGAAGGCGGGUCUCUGGGCCGAUACUGACGCUGAGGAGCGAAAGCGUGGGGAGCGAACAGG
rnacentral:rRNA from 1 species